UGCAAGUCGAGCGGACAGAUGGGAGCUUGCUCCCUGAUGUUAGCGGCGGACGGGUGAGUAACACGUGGGUAACCUGCCUGUAAGACUGGGAUAACUCCGGGAAACCGGGGCUAAUACCGGAUGGUUGUUUGAACCGCAUGGUUCAGACAUAAAAGGUGGCUUCGGCUACCACUUACAGAUGGACCCGCGGCGCAUUAGCUAGUUGGUGAGGUAACGGCUCACCAAGGCGACGAUGCGUAGCCGACCUGAGAGGGUGAUCGGCCACACUGGGACUGAGACACGGCCCAGACUCCUACGGAGGCAGCAGUAGGGAAUCUUCCGCAAUGGACGAAAGUCUGACGGAGCAACGCCGCGUGAGUGAUGAAGGUUUUCGGAUCGUAAAGCUCUGUUGUUAGGGAAGAACAAGUGCCGUUCAAAUAGGGCGGCACCUUGACGGUACCUAACCAGAAAGCCACGGCUAACUACGUGCCAGCAGCCGCGGUAAUACGUAGGUGGCAAGCGUUGUCCGGAAUUAUUGGGCGUAAAGGGCUCGCAGGCGGUUUCUUAAGUCUGAUGUGAAAGCCCCCGGCUCAACCGGGGAGGGUCAUUGGAAACUGGGGAACUUGAGUGCAGAAGAGGAGAGUGGAAUUCCACGUGUAGCGGUGAAAUGCGUAGAGAUGUGGAGGAACACCAGUGGCGAAGGCGACUCUCUGGUCUGUAACUGACGCUGAGGAGCGAAAGCGUGGGGAGCGAACAGGAUUAGAUACCCUGGUAGUCCACGCCGUAAACGAUGAGUGCUAAGUGUUAGGGGGUUUCCGCCCCUUAGUGCUGCAGCUAACGCAUUAAGCACUCCGCCUGGGGAGUACGGUCGCAAGACUGAAACUCAAAGGAAUUGACGGGGGCCCGCACAAGCGGUGGAGCAUGUGGUUUAAUUCGAAGCAACGCGAAGAACCUUACCAGGUCUUGACAUCCUCUGACAAUCCUAGAGAUAGGACGUCCCCUUCGGGGGCAGAGUGACAGGUGGUGCAUGGUUGUCGUCAGCUCGUGUCGUGAGAUGUUGGGUUAAGUCCCGCAACGAGCGCAACCCUUGAUCUUAGUUGCCAGCAUUCAGUUGGGCACUCUAAGGUGACUGCCGGUGACAAACCGGAGGAAGGUGGGGAUGACGUCAAAUCAUCAUGCCCCUUAUGACCUGGGCUACACACGUGCUACAAUGGACAGAACAAAGGGCAGCGAAACCGCGAGGUUAAGCCAAUCCCACAAAUCUGUUCUCAGUUCGGAUCGCAGUCUGCAACUCGACUGCGUGAAGCUGGAAUCGCUAGUAAUCGCGGAUCAGCAUGCCGCGGUGAAUACGUUCCCGGGCCUUGUACACACCGCCCGUCACACCACGAGAGUUUGUAACACCCGAAGUCGGUGAGGUAAC
rnacentral:rRNA from 1 species